GGACGGGGGCGGGACUCGCGCAGGCGCAGUGUGACCGGCGACAUGGCAUCUAAGGCUAAGAAGCGAGCGGUGGGAAAUGGAAUUCAGCGGCCGCUGGGAGCCCCGGGCCAGCGGGAGGAGGAAGAAGAAGAAGAGGAUGAGGUGGAGGAUGAGGAAGAAGACGAGGACGACAGUGACGAAGAAGAGGAUGAAGUUGACGAAAUCGUGGACGAGGAAGUGAAUAUUGAGUUUGAAGCCUAUUCCAUCUCAGAUAACGAUUAUGGCGGAAUUAAGAAAUUACUGCAACAGCUUUUUCUAAAAGCCCCCGUGAACACUGCCGAGCUGACGAAUCUCCUGAUGCAGCAGAACCACAUUGGGAGUGUGAUUAAGGUCGGUGGGGAGAGGGACACUGUGGCUGCUUUGUCCUCUUUAUCUCCUGCUGAAAGGAAGUACUGUGAGGACUGCCCAGAGGUUGCUGCAGUGGUCCAGAGGUACUGUGUGCAGGAAUUCAGGCAUCACAUGUGCGCCCACGAGUGGCCGAGGUUGACUCACACGUUUGCUAGAGCGCUGAGGUUAGCAAGCAUAGAUGGUAGGUUGAGAGGGUGGAUGGAUUACAGGGUGUGCACACUUCGCGUCUGCUGUGCUGAGCUGUGUGUGGAAGAUGCUGAGCAGCAGCUGGAGCUCUGAGUUUUCCGCAGAUGUCAGUCACUGAUAUCAGGUGUGAUCGGAAUUGCCACAGGAGAGGGAAGGACAGAUGCCCUGGUCAUGCCAGCCAUGCUUCUCUGAGCAAAAUGAGUGGCAGAGACACCAGAGGAGCUGAUAUGAAUGGCUGCAGUGAGAGGGGAAAAUGGUAUGAGUUCAUAAAAGCAAGGAAGGGCUACUUAAGGAAGCACUUGCCCAGUAAGUAGAGUUAUAGAAAAUGAGGACCCAGCACGGACUCAGCUCUGCCACCUGUCCCCUGGGGCCCUUCUGGUUUCCUGUUGUUGUAAAAGUCCCACAGCUUAGAAUUGCAACAGGCAUCUGUUUGGUUUGUGGACCUGCCAUUUGGACAGAGAUCAGAUUCACCUCAAUUCCUGCUUUGUUCUGUGAGCCAAGAAAGCUUGGCGUGGGGCAUUAUUGCAUGGGUCUCGGUCGGGACUGUUGCUGGGUCAGCUGAAGUAUGGAGAAGCUCAGAAAGAGAUGGUGGAGGACCAGGGCUGGUUCAGGAGCUACCUUUUCAUUUUCAUCUAGUUUUGUUGAACUUAAGACAUCUUUGCCAACUGGGCAGUGGUGGCUCAUUCCAUUAAUCCCAGCACUUGGGGACAGAGACAGGUGGAGCUCUGAGUUUGAAGACAACCUGGUCUACAGAGCUACUUCCAGGACAGCCAGGGCUACAAGAAACCCUAUCUCAAAGAAACAAGCAAGCAAACAAACAAACAAAGCCAACAUCUUUGCCAAAGGCUGUCGAUGAGCACUAAGAGCCCGUGGUGCUGAAGGCAGCUAUAACAGGACGCGACGGCAGAAAGACAAGCUUUGGCUUUGCAAAGUGGAAAAUUGGUGUUGUACUUCUUUCCAGCCGAAUAACGUGAAGUUGAAGUAUUUUCCUUUUAAAACAGCAAACAGAUGUUUCAGAAGACAGUGAUGAUGAAGUGGAUGAAGAUGAGAUCUUUGGCUUCAUAAGCCUUUUAAAUUUGACUGAAAGAAAGGGGACUCAGUGUGCUGAACAAAUUAAAGAGUUGGUUCUAAGCUUCUGUGAGAAGACCUGUGAGCAGAGCAUGGUUGAACAGCUGGACAAGCUUUUGAAUGACACCAGCAAGCCUGUGGGCCUUCUGCUAAGUGAAAGAUUCAUUAACGUCCCUCCACAGAUUGCCCUGCCCAUGCACCAGCAGCUCCAGAAAGAACUGUCUGAGGCGCGAAGAACCAACAAGCCAUGUGGGAAAUGCUGCUUCUACCUGCUGAUUAGUAAGACAUUUAUGGAAGCAGGAAAGUCCAGUUCCAGAAAGAGGCAGGACAGCCUUCAGCAGGGGGCACUGAUGUUUGCAAAUGCAGAGGAAGAGUUCUUCUAUGAGAAGGCAAUCUUGAAGUUCAGCUACUCGGUGCAGGGGGAGAGCGACACUCGUCUGGGAGGCAGAUGGUCCUUCGAUGAUGUUCCGAUGACGCCUUUGCGGACUGUGAUGGUAAUUCCAGACGACAGGAUGAAUGAGAUCAUGGAAACCCUGAAAGACCAUCUCUCCGUCUAGUCCAUUUCCCCCAGACAGUGACAGGCUUGUUUAUGUGUAAUUACCAAGAAACCCAUUGAAGAGAUACUGAAAAACUCAUUAUUUUAUUCAGAUUCAAGUCCUCUACAAAAAGUAGGGUUCUGUUCCAUGUGUCUGUGACACAUUUACAAAAUGAUUUUUUUCUUUAUUUUGGUCAAAUUAUGAAUGAUUGGUUAAAAACUUCCAAUAAGAAAAGCAUGGAAUAGUAAUUUUAAGAACUUAAUAAAACUAUUUUUUUAUUUUAAAAUCA